UACGUAGGGGGCAAGCGUUGUCCGGAUUUAUUGGGCGUAAAGAGCGUGUAGGCGGCCAGACAGGUCCGUUGUGAAAACUCGAGGCUCAACCUCGAGACGCCGAUGGAAACCGUCUGGCUAGAGUCCGGAAGAGGAGAGUGGAAUUCCUGGUGUAGCGGUGAAAUGCGCAGAUAUCAGGAAGAACACCCGUGGCUAAGGCGGCUCUCUAGUACGGUACUGACGCUGAGACGCGAAAGCGUGGGGAGCGAACAG
rnacentral:rRNA from 1 species